GGUUAAGCGACUAAGCGUACACGGUGGAUGCCCUGGCAGUCAGAGGCGAUGAAGGACGUGCUAAUCUGCGAUAAGCGUCGGUAAGGUGAUAUGAACCGUUAUAACCGGCGAUUUCCGAAUGGGGAAACCCAGUGUGUUUCGACACACUAUCAUUAACUGAAUCCAUAGGUUAAUGAGGCGAACCGGGGGAACUGAAACAUCUAAGUACCCCGAGGAAAAGAAAUCAACCGAGAUUCCCCCAGUAGCGGCGAGCGAACGGGGAGCAGCCCAGAGCCUGAAUCAGUGUGUGUGUUAGUGGAAGCGUCUGGAAAGGCGCGCGAUACAGGGUGACAGCCCCGUACACAAAAAUGCACAUGCUGUGAGCUCGAUGAGUAGGGCGGGACACGUGGUAUCCUGUCUGAAUAUGGGGGGACCAUCCUCCAAGGCUAAAUACUCCUGACUGACCGAUAGUGAACCAGUACCGUGAGGGAAAGGCGAAAAGAACCCCGGCGAGGGGAGUGAAAAAGAACCUGAAACCGUGUACGUACAAGCAGUGGGAGCACGCUUAGGCGUGUGACUGCGUACCUUUUGUAUAAUGGGUCAGCGACUUAUAUUCUGUAGCAAGGUUAACCGAAUAGGGGAGCCGAAGGGAAACCGAGUCUUAACUGGGCGUUAAGUUGCAGGGUAUAGACCCGAAACCCGGUGAUCUAGCCAUGGGCAGGUUGAAGGUUGGGUAACACUAACUGGAGGACCGAACCGACUAAUGUUGAAAAAUUAGCGGAUGACUUGUGGCUGGGGGUGAAAGGCCAAUCAAACCGGGAGAUAGCUGGUUCUCCCCGAAAGCUAUUUAGGUAGCGCCUCGUGAAUUCAUCUCCGGGGGUAGAGCACUGUUUCGGCAAGGGGGUCAUCCCGACUUACCAACCCGAUGCAAACUGCGAAUACCGGAGAAUGUUAUCACGGGAGACACACGGCGGGUGCUAACGUCCGUCGUGAAGAGGGAAACAACCCAGACCGCCAGCUAAGGUCCCAAAGUCAUGGUUAAGUGGGAAACGAUGUGGGAAGGCCCAGACAGCCAGGAUGUUGGCUUAGAAGCAGCCAUCAUUUAAAGAAAGCGUAAUAGCUCACUGGUCGAGUCGGCCUGCGCGGAAGAUGUAACGGGGCUAAACCAUGCACCGAAGCUGCGGCAGCGACGCUGAUGCGUUGUUGGGUAGGGGAGCGUUCUGUAAGCCUGCGAAGGUGUGCUGUGAGGCAUGCUGGAGGUAUCAGAAGUGCGAAUGCUGACAUAAGUAACGAUAAAGCGGGUGAAAAGCCCGCUCGCCGGAAGACCAAGGGUUCCUGUCCAACGUUAAUCGGGGCAGGGUGAGUCGACCCCUAAGGCGAGGCCGAAAGGCGUAGUCGAUGGGAAACAGGUUAAUAUUCCUGUACUUGGUGUUACUGCGAAGGGGGGACGGAGAAGGCUAUGUUGGCCGGGCGACGGUUGUCCCGGUUUAAGCGUGUAGGCUGGUUUUCCAGGCAAAUCCGGAAAAUCAAGGCUGAGGCGUGAUGACGAGGCACUACGGUGCUGAAGCAACAAAUGCCCUGCUUCCAGGAAAAGCCUCUAAGCAUCAGGUAACAUCAAAUCGUACCCCAAACCGACACAGGUGGUCAGGUAGAGAAUACCAAGGCGCUUGAGAGAACUCGGGUGAAGGAACUAGGCAAAAUGGUGCCGUAACUUCGGGAGAAGGCACGCUGAUAUGUAGGUGAGGUCCCUCGCGGAUGGAGCUGAAAUCAGUCGAAGAUACCAGCUGGCUGCAACUGUUUAUUAAAAACACAGCACUGUGCAAACACGAAAGUGGACGUAUACGGUGUGACGCCUGCCCGGUGCCGGAAGGUUAAUUGAUGGGGUCAGCGCAAGCGAAGCUCUUGAUCGAAGCCCCGGUAAACGGCGGCCGUAACUAUAACGGUCCUAAGGUAGCGAAAUUCCUUGUCGGGUAAGUUCCGACCUGCACGAAUGGCGUAAUGAUGGCCAGGCUGUCUCCACCCGAGACUCAGUGAAAUUGAACUCGCUGUGAAGAUGCAGUGUACCCGCGGCAAGACGGAAAGACCCCGUGAACCUUUACUAUAGCUUGACACUGAACAUUGAGCCUUGAUGUGUAGGAUAGGUGGGAGGCUUGGAAGUGUGGACGCCAGUCUGCAUGGAGCCGACCUUGAAAUACCACCCUUUAAUGUUUGAUGUUCUAACGUUGACCCGUAAUCCGGGUUGCGGACAGUGUCUGGUGGGUAGUUUGACUGGGGCGGUCUCCUCCUAAAGAGUAACGGAGGAGCACGAAGGUUGGCUAAUCCUGGUCGGACAUCAGGAGGUUAGUGCAAUGGCAUAAGCCAGCUUGACUGCGAGCGUGACGGCGCGAGCAGGUGCGAAAGCAGGUCAUAGUGAUCCGGUGGUUCUGAAUGGAAGGGCCAUCGCUCAACGGAUAAAAGGUACUCCGGGGAUAACAGGCUGAUACCGCCCAAGAGUUCAUAUCGACGGCGGUGUUUGGCACCUCGAUGUCGGCUCAUCACAUCCUGGGGCUGAAGUAGGUCCCAAGGGUAUGGCUGUUCGCCAUUUAAAGUGGUACGCGAGCUGGGUUUAGAACGUCGUGAGACAGUUCGGUCCCUAUCUGCCGUGGGCGCUGGAGAACUGAGGGGGGCUGCUCCUAGUACGAGAGGACCGGAGUGGACGCAUCACUGGUGUUCGGGUUGUCAUGCCAAUGGCACUGCCCGGUAGCUAAAUGCGGAAGAGAUAAGUGCUGAAAGCAUCUAAGCACGAAACUUGCCCCGAGAUGAGUUCUCCCUGACUCCUUGAGAGUCCUGAAGGAACGUUGAAGACGACGACGUUGAUAGGCCGGGUGUGUAAGCGCAGCGAUGCGUUGAGCUAACCGGUACUAAUGAACCGUGAGGCUUAACCUU
rnacentral:rRNA from 1 species